rnacentral:rRNA from 1 species
AGAGUUUGAUCCUGGCUCAGAUUGAACGCUGGCGGCAGGCCUAACACAUGCAAGUCGAGCGGUAACACAGAGAGCUUGCUCUCGGGUGACGAGCGGCGGACGGGUGAGUAAUGUCUGGGAAACUGCCUGAUGGAGGGGGAUAACUACUGGAAACGGUAGCUAAUACCGCAUAACGUCGCAAGACCAAAGUGGGGGACCUUCGGGCCUCAUGCCAUCAGAUGUGCCCAGAUGGGAUUAGCUAGUAGGUGGGGUAAUGGCUCACCUAGGCGACGAUCCCUAGCUGGUCUGAGAGGAUGACCAGCCACACUGGAACUGAGACACGGUCCAGACUCCUACGGGAGGCAGCAGUGGGGAAUAUUGCACAAUGGGCGCAAGCCUGAUGCAGCCAUGCCGCGUGUAUGAAGAAGGCCUUCGGGUUGUAAAGUACUUUCAGCGAGGAGGAAGGCGUUAAGGUUAAUAACCUUAGCGAUUGACGUUACUCGCAGAAGAAGCACCGGCUAACUCCGUGCCAGCAGCCGCGGUAAUACGGAGGGUGCAAGCGUUAAUCGGAAUUACUGGGCGUAAAGCGCACGCAGGCGGUCUGUCAAGUCGGAUGUGAAAUCCCCGGGCUCAACCUGGGAACUGCAUUCGAAACUGGCAGGCUAGAGUCUUGUAGAGGGGGGUAGAAUUCCAGGUGUAGCGGUGAAAUGCGUAGAGAUCUGGAGGAAUACCGGUGGCGAAGGCGGCCCCCUGGACAAAGACUGACGCUCAGGUGCGAAAGCGUGGGGAGCAAACAGGAUUAGAUACCCUGGUAGUCCACGCCGUAAACGAUGUCGACUUGGAGGUUGUGCCCUUGAGGCGUGGCUUCCGGAGCUAACGCGUUAAGUCGACCGCCUGGGGAGUACGGCCGCAAGGUUAAAACUCAAAUGAAUUGACGGGGGCCCGCACAAGCGGUGGAGCAUGUGGUUUAAUUCGAUGCAACGCGAAGAACCUUACCUACUCUUGACAUCCAGAGAACUUAGCAGAGAUGCUUUGGUGCCUUCGGGAACUCUGAGACAGGUGCUGCAUGGCUGUCGUCAGCUCGUGUUGUGAAAUGUUGGGUUAAGUCCCGCAACGAGCGCAACCCUUAUCCUUUGUUGCCAGCGGUCCGGCCGGGAACUCAAAGGAGACUGCCAGUGAUAAACUGGAGGAAGGUGGGGAUGACGUCAAGUCAUCAUGGUCCUUACGAGUAGGGCUACACACGUGCUACAAUGGCAUAUACAAAGAGAAGCGACCUCGCGAGAGCAAGCGGACCUCAUAAAGUAUGUCGUAGUCCGGAUUGGAGUCUGCAACUCGACUCCAUGAAGUCGGAAUCGCUAGUAAUCGUAGAUCAGAAUGCUACGGUGAAUACGUUCCCGGGCCUUGUACACACCGCCCGUCACACCAUGGGAGUGGGUUGCAAAAGAAGUAGGUAGCUUAACCUUCGGGAGGGCGCUUACCACUUUGUGAUUCAUGACUGGGGUGAAGUCGUAACAAGGUAGCC